UGAGGAAUAUUGCACAAUGGGGGAAACCCUGAUGCAGCAACGCCGCGUGAGUGAUGACGGCCUUCGGGUUGUAAAGCUCUGUCUUCAGGGACGAUAAUGACGGUACCUGAGGAGGAAGCCACGGCUAACUACGUGCCAGCAGCCGCGGUAAUACGUAGGUGGCGAGCGUUGUCCGGAUUUACUGGGCGUAAAGGGAGCGUAGGCGGACUUUUAAGUGAGAUGUGAAAUACCCGGGCUCAACUUGGGUGCUGCAUUUCAAACUGGAAGUCUAGAGUGCAGGAGAGGAGAAUGGAAUUCCUAGUGGAGCGGUGAAAUUCGUAGAGAUCGGGAGGAACACCAGCGGCGCAGGCGGCUCACUAGACAGUUUCUGACGCUAAGAUACGAAAGCGUGGGGAGCAAACA
rnacentral:rRNA from 1 species